rnacentral:tRNA from 5 species
GGGCCGGUAGCUCAGCUGGAAGAGUGCCCGCCUCGCAAGCGGGAGGUCCCGGGUUCAAAUCCCGGCCGGUCCA